UGGAAUUGAAACGGGGGUUACAGGAAACAUAAAGGCUAGGGUAUUAACUCUAAACGGGGGUUACAGAAAUUUUGGAGAAUAACCAACAAUCCCCCACAUGAUCCAAAAUUAUCAAAGAGAAGAAAAUAAAAAGAAGUGAGAAGGGCAAUGGAUUUUAGAUACAUAACGUCGAUACCUUGUGGGUUUGAAUCAACACUUAGUGGAACAAGCUCAUGAUUGUAGAUUAUAGGUGAAUUAUAUUCUUGAACCUAUUAUCUGUGAUACAAUCAAUUUAGCUUGCACACAUAUCUUAAAUCCUGAAUCCACACAAGUCCGCGGUUGGGCGCGUUCUAGGCCAUGCGCCAUGUCCCAAAUUUUCAUAAAGGCUCUAGAGAGUAUGCCAAAGACUCUCAUAGGAAGCGGCCUACACUUCCACCUUUAUAUAGGUGAACCCAUCAAGUGUA
rnacentral:lncRNA from 1 species